GCCAGCAGCCAUAUCACUCUGCAACUCACAACUAGCAACCCACUGAAGCUAAGCAGGUGUGAGCCUGGUCAGUACCUGGAUGGGAGACCUCCUGGGAAAAACUAAGGUUGCUGCUGGAA
ensembl:rRNA 5S_rRNA 5S ribosomal RNA